rnacentral:rRNA from 1 species
GGGGAAUAUUGGACAAUGGGCGAAAGCCUGAUCCAGCCAUGCCGCGUGAGUGAUGAAGGCCCUAGGGUUGUAAAGCUCUUUUGUGCGGGAAGAUAAUGACGGUACCGCAAGAAUAAGCCCCGGCUAACUUCGUGCCAGCAGCCGCGGUAAUACGAAGGGGGCUAGCGUUGCUCGGAAUCACUGGGCGUAAAGGGUGCGUAGGCGGGUUUCUAAGUCAGGGGUGAAAGCCUGGAGCUCAACUCCAGAACUGCCUUUGAUACUGGAAGUCUUGAGUUCGGGAGAGGUGAGUGGAACUGCGAGUGUAGAGGUGAAAUUCGUUGAUAUUCGCAAGAACACCAGUGGCGAAGGCGGCUCACUGGCCCGAUACUGACGCUGAGGCACGAAAGCGUGGGGAGCAAACA